rnacentral:rRNA from 1 species
GGGGAAUUUUCCGCAAUGGGCGAAAGCCUGACGGAGCAAUACCGCGUGAGGGAGGAAGGCUCUUGGGUCGUAAACCUCUUUUCUCAGGGAAGAACACAAUGACGGUACCUGAGGAAUAAGCGUCGGCUAACUCCGUGCCAGCAGCCGCGGUAAUACGGAGGAUGCAAGCGUUAUCCGGAAUGAUUGGGCGUAAAGCGUCCGCAGGUGGCAAUGUAAGUCUGCUGUUAAAGAGUGAGGCUCAACCUCAUAAGAGCAGUGGAAACUACAUAGCUAGAGUACGUUCGGGGCCGAGGGAAUUCCUGGUGUAGCGGUGAAAUGCGUAGAGAUCAGGAAGAACACCGGUGGCGAAGGCGCUCUGCUAGGCCGUAACUGACACUGAGGGACGAAAGCUAGGGGAGCG